UCACUGCAGCCUUGAGCUCCUGGGCUCAAGUGAUUCUCCUGCCUCAGCCUCCCAAGUAGCUGGGACUCCAGGUGCACGUCUCUGCAGCCAGCGAUGCUAUAUUUUUCAGAUCACAGAUUCCCACAUGCUUGAGACUGAUCGUGUUUCAUUCCUGUUUGCUUCCUAGGGGGCUCAGAGCUGAUUUGCAGCCCAUCUGGAUGUGCCUCAUGGCUACUGAUCUCAUCCCUGCAUUCUUCUCCCGCUUCCACCAGCUUUAUUAAGGAGACCAGGUGUCCGCCCCUUCACGGUAGGGUGAGAACAGAGAAGAAAGCAAACUGGGCGUGAAUGACAAAGGAGGCAUCUGGAGGCCCAGGACCACGGCUCCCUGCUCCGGUAAGAGGCAGGAGCAGCGCAUCAGGAAUCUGAACAGACUGACCCAGCUGCAGGGCGUGAGCGGAGCUGAGCACAGCACCAGGCCCGGGAACUUACCGCAGGGCGAUGCUGACGUUGGUCGAGCUGCCGUUUUCCAGCUUUACAACGGGAGGAACGGCUCAUUGUUCUGAGGACAUUCCGAGGCUUUCUUCUGGGCUUGCGUAGCUGGGACUUCCUGUACCGCCAGUUCAAUUCUGCCUAGAGCUGAGGACCAUGCCAGAUAAGCAAGUCCCAGAACCAGCCACUGCUCAGGACAGGGUGCUGAAAGUGAUGCCAGGCGGCCAGCCAGACUCUGGAUCCCUAGGGCUCUGCCGGAGGUAGUGGAGGUCAAGGUGAGUGGGAGAUCUACAUGGCCAUAGAGCUCCUGCAAUCUUUGCAUUAUAACAUGGGAGGUUGAGGGCCGGGCACAGUGGCUCACAUCUGUAAUCUUAGCACUUUGGGAGGCCGAGGUGGGUGGA